GUGAACGCUGGCGGUAGGCCUAACACAUGCAAGUCGCACGGCAGCACAGUAAGAGCUUGCUCUUACGGGUGGCGAGUGGCGGACGGGUGAGGAAUACAUCGGAAUCUACUUUUUCGUGGGGGAUAACGUAGGGAAAUUUACGCUAAUACCGCAUACGACCUACGGGUGAAAGCAGGGGAUCUUCGGACCUUGCGCGAUUGAAUGAGCCGAUGUCGGAUUAGCUAGUUGGCGGGGUAAAGGCCCACCAAGGCGACGAUCCGUAGCUGGUCUGAGAGGAUGAUCAGCCACACUGGAACUGAGACACGGUCCAGACUCCUACGGGAGGCAGCAGUGGGGAAUAUUGGACAAUGGGCGCAAGCCUGAUCCAGCCAUACCGCGUGGGUGAAGAAGGCCUUCGGGUUGUAAAGCCCUUUUGUUGGGAAAGAAAAGCAGCAGGUUAAUACCCCGCUGUUCUGACGGUACCCAAAGAAUAAGCACCGGCUAACUUCGUG
rnacentral:rRNA from 1 species